rnacentral:rRNA from 1 species
UUGAUCAUGGCUCAGAGUGAACGCUGGCGGCAGGCCUAACACAUGCAAGUCGAACGGCAGCACAGGAGAGCUUGCUCUCUGGGUGGCGAGUGGCGGACGGGUGAGGAUAACGUCGGAAUCUGCCUAUUUGUGGGGGAUAACGUAGGGAAACUUACGCUAAUACCGCAUACGACCUACGGGUGAAAGCGGAGGACCUUCGGGCUUCGCGCAGAUAGAUGAGCCGACGUCGGAUUAGCUAGUUGGCGGGGUAAAGGCCCACCAAGGCGACGAUCCGUAGCUGGUCUGAGAGGAUGAUCAGCCACACUGGAACUGAGACACGGUCCAGACUCCUACGGGAGGCAGCAGUGGGGAAUAUUGGACAAUGGGCGCAAGCCUGAUCCAGCCAUGCCGCGUGUGUGAAGAAGGCCUUCGGGUUGUAAAGCACUUUUGUACGGGAAGAAAAGCACCUGGUUAAUACCCGGGUGUCAUGACGGUACCGUAAGAAUAAGCACCGGCUAACUUCGUGCCAGCAGCCGCGGUAAUACGAAGGGUGCAAGCGUUACUCGGAAUUACUGGGCGUAAAGCGUGCGUAGGUGGUUAGUUAAGUCUGAUGUGAAAGCCCUGGGCUCAACCUGGGAAUUGCAUUGGAUACUGGCAGUCUAGAGUGCGGUAGGGUA